AUGAACGCUGGCGGCGUGCCUAAUACAUGCCAGUCGAGCGAACAGAUGAGGAGCUUGCUCCUCUGACGUUAGCGGCGGACGGGUGAGUAACACGUGGAUAACCUACCUAUAAGACUGGGAUAACUUCGGGAAACCGGAGCUAAUACCGGAUAAUAUAUUGAACCGCCUGGUUCAAUAGUGAAAGACGGUUUUGCUGUCACUUAUAGAUGGGUCCGCGCCGCAUUAGCUAGUUGGUAAGGUAACGGCUUACCAAGGCAACGAUGCGUAGCCGACCUGAGAGGGUGAUCGGCCACACUGGAACUGAGACACGGUCCAGACUCCUACGGGAGGCAGCAGUAGGGAAUCUUCCGCAAUGGGCGAAAGCCUGACGGAGCAACGCCGCGUGAGUGAUGAAGGUCUUCGGAUCGUAAAACUCUGUUAUUAGGGAAGAACAAAUGUGUAAGUAACUAUGCACGUCUUGACGGUACCUAAUCAGAAAGCCACGGCUAACUACGUG
rnacentral:rRNA from 1 species